rnacentral:rRNA from 1 species
CCGGCGCUGACGUAAGGUCGCGCGGCGAUCCGGUGCUGACACCAUACCUUGGUUGGAUACCUCAUAAGGGCUGACGGGUGAGUAAUGCCUGGGGAUCUGCCCAGUCGAGGAGGAUAACAUUUGGAAACGACUGCUAAUACCGCAUACGCCCUACUGGGGAAAGCAGGGCAGCUUCCGGCCUUUAACGAUUGCAUGAGCCCAGGUGGGAUUAUCUACUUGGUGAGGUAAUGUUCUCACCCGCGGGACCAUCCCUAUCUGGUCUGACAGGAUAAUCACCCACACUGGCAACUGAGACACAGUCCAGACUCCUACUGAACGCACCAAUGGGGAAUAUUGCACAAUGCGAGAAACCCUGAUUCACCCAUGCCGCCUGUCUGAAGAAGCCUUCGAGUUGAAAGGCUUUCGCGAGUUGAAUGUUGGUGCUAAAUCUGCCUUAAUUAUAUUACUCCCAUAAAAACACCUGCUACUCCCUGCAGGACCCCGGUAUACUAAGGUCCCCAUUGUCGGGUUCGUGGGUAAUCGCCUCCACGAAUUGACCAUUGCUAUUCAAUCGCGGGGCCCCUUGAUUUUGUGAUUUAUGUUGCGGCGUACUCGCAAGGGUGUAUUUUCCGGUGCUCGGAACUGCGUACAGUGACGAGAUCCAGUCGCAACGUACCGCUGACAACACGAACUAAGUCGUUGCCCGAGACUUCGAGAUAGCUCCUCUUGUCAGGGGCCACUUCUCACUGGAUCUGGUAUUGAACGUGUUACCGUACACGGAUUCUCGCCGCUAGGGAUAUGCCGGAGGUUAAAUCGAUUACUAGUGGAGCCGGGUUCCGUGACAUGUGUUACUCGGGCACCUUACACCUAAUUGCAUAACUGCGGCACCCGUAAACCCGGAGGGCUCAGAUUCAAAGAUGUCUCGAAGUAUCCCCCCCGGUUUGAAUUUGGUUUUCCCCACAAAAGUCCUACCUUGUGCUUCAAAGGGGGAUGGAGGAAUGCCGAAAAGGAAAACGGGGGCCCCCAAAAAGGGAAUUGCUUGUCUGGGGCAACCCCCAAAAGGGGGCCCCGGGUGGACCACCAAACGGCUUCCCGGGGUUCCCACGGGGGGAGGUCCUUUCAAAAAAAAGUUUAAUUUCCCGUCCCCCCGGAAUGGGUCCCCCAAAUGGAACUGGGUUCCCUUUAUGGUCAGGCCCAAAGAAAGAAAAUAAAAAUAAAAUAAAGCUUGGUUUCAAACUCGGACCGAAUACGCCAAAGUCGGACCUGGAGUUUAACCUUGCCCUAAGGG